UACGGAGGGGGCUAGCGUUGUUCGGAAUUACUGGGCGUAAAGCGUACGUAGGCGGCUUUGUAAGUUAGAGGUGAAAGCCCGGGGCUCAACUCCGGAAUUGCCUUUAAGACUGCAUCGCUUGAAUCAUGGAGAGGUGAGUGGAAUUCCGAGUGUAGAGGUGAAAUUCGUAGAUAUUCGGAAGAACACCAGUGGCGAAGGCGACUCACUGGACAUGUAUUGACGCUGAGGUACGAAAGCGUGGGGGAGCAAACAGG
rnacentral:rRNA from 1 species